rnacentral:pre_miRNA from 1 species
CCAUGCAUUACAGGGUGGUUCUCCUUUGGCAGUGGCCUGAUGAAGUAACCAAAGCUGGCCACCGCCAAAGGAGACUUGCCCAGCAAUGCAGCU